rnacentral:rRNA from 1 species
GAUGAACGCUGACAGAAUGCUUAACACAUGCAAGUCCACUUGAAUUUGGGUUUUUAACUUAGGUUUGGGUGGCGGACGGGUGAGUAACGCGUAAAGAACUUGCCUCACAGCUAGGGACAACAUUUGGAAACGAAUGCUAAUACCUAAUAUUAUGAUAAUAGGGCAUCCUAUAAUUAUGAAAGCUAUAAGCGCUGUGAGAGAGCUUUGCGUCCCAUUAGCUAGUUGGAGAGGUAACGGCUCACCAAGGCGAUGAUGGGUAGCCGGCCUGAGAGGGUGAUCGGCCACAAGGGGACUGAGACACGGCCCUUACUCCUACGGGAGGCAGCAGUGGGGAAUAUUGGACAAUGGACCGAGAGUCUGAUCCAGCAAUUCUGUGUGCACGAUGAAGUUUUUCGGAAUGUAAAGUGCUUUCAGUUGGGAAGAAACAAAUGACGGUACCAACAGAAGAAGGGACGGCUAAAUACGU